UGCAUGGAAGUAUGGGACUGAUCAGUGCUGCCGGGAUGAGGGAUCUGCGGAGGAGGAAAAAAGCAGGAAAAGAAAGUGAGGCCACAAGGAGUGGAACAGCAGUGUUGAGGAAAGGAAAUCCUGAUUGAUUCAUCCCUGGUUACCCAGCCUUACCUACACUGGCAAAUAUCUGCACUUCCUGGAGUGACCUACAGAAUAUGUCUAGAGGGAUCAACUUUCUCUGCCUCCCACUGCGUAAGGGCCACCACAUAAAUCUUCAACACAGGAACGCCAGGAACUUCCUCAGCAGCAUUCAGCUCCAGCAAGAGAGACCUUAAAAGCCUAGAAGGACUGAACAUCCAAUCCCUUACAACUCACCUUGUAAAUGGCCAAAGUGAAUAGUAUAUGCAAACUACAAUAACCUGCUAACUGUAAAAAUGAAGGACAGAAAGCCAGAAAAGAGCACAGGCAACAUCUUAAAACCUUGGUUCAGUCACA